AGCAGCCGCGGUAAUUCCAGCUCCAAUAGGCGUAUAUUAAAGUUGCUGCAGUUAAAAAGCUCGUAGUUGAAUUUCGGGAUCAAUUUAUUGGUCGUACCUUUUGGUACGUACUGAUUUUAUUGGUUUCUCCCUUCUGACGAACCAUGAUGUCAUUAAUUUGAUGUCUUGGGGAAUCAGGACUGUUACUUUGAAAAAUUAGAGUGUUUAAAGCAGGCUCACGCUUGAAUACAUUAGCAUGGAAUAAUGAAAUAGGACGUUUAAUUCUAUUUUGUUGGUUUCUAGGAUUGACGUAAUGAUUAAUAGGGAUAGUUGGGGGCAUUAGUAUUCAAUUGUCAGAGGUGAAAUUCUUGGAUUUAUUGAAGACUAACUACUGCGAAAGCAUUUGCCAAGGAUGU
rnacentral:rRNA from 1 species